rnacentral:tRNA from 1 species
AAUGAUGUGCCUGAGAAAAAGGAUUAUUUUGAUAGAGUAAAUAAUGUAAUUUUUAUUACCUUCAUUA